rnacentral:lncRNA from 1 species
GUGAUCGAUCGUUGUAGAAAUCCAGCUGCUGGAGUCCGUCCGUCGUAGAAGCUCGUCCGAUAUCCAUCUUCUAUGGAAGUUCGGACGGAGUCUGAUUCUUGUAGAAGGCUGAAAGGAGACCGCUUAUUGUAGAAGCUCGGUCGAGGAUCGGUUGUCAUGGGAGCUUAGAGUAGCGACCUGGUCGGUGGGUCCUGUCCCAUUGUAGAAGCUCGUCUGUGAUCCGGCUACGAAGAAGCUCGGCUGAAGUCUACCUGUGAUAGAAGUUCGGAAGAAAUGUGUUUACAGUAGAGGCUCGAAUGGAAUUUGCUUACAGUAGAGAUCCAGGGUAGACCGUCCGCUGUAGGAGUUCGGAGUAGACCGAUCGUAGUAGAAGUUUGGAGUAGACCGCUCGUAGUAGAAGUUCGACUGUCGCAGGAGCUUGGUUGGAAUCCUGAAGGCAGUCGACCGUCGUAGAAACUUGGACGGAGUCUGAUUACUGU